CACGUAGGGCGCAAGCGUUGUCCGGAAUUAUUGGGCGUAAAGAGCUCGUAGGCGGUCUGUUGCGUCCGCUGUGAAAACUCGGGGCUUAACCCCGAGCCUGCAGUGGAUACGGGCAGACUAGAGGUAGGUAGGGGAGAAUGGAAUUCCCGGUGUAGCGGUGAAAUGCGCAGAUAUCAGGAAGAACACCUAUGGCGAAAGCAGCUCUCUGGGACGGUACUGACGCUGAGACGCGAAAGCGUGGGGAGCGAACAGG
rnacentral:rRNA from 1 species